CCCUGCAGAAAAAGACAGAGGCUAAAAUCUCUAUAUGUAACAAUGCCUAGUAUUGUGUUGAAAUGUGAUUAUGUGUAUUCUAUUUUAACUAGGGUUUUUCUUGUUAAUCACAAUAAAUAACCAAAGUUCAAUAGAUAAUUGCUAUGAAUUGCAUUUUAAUCAUAUUUUUCUUUCACAUAAUUCACAUAUGUCCAUAUUUAUGUCGAUAUCCUUACAAAUCAGUUUGAUUCAUUGGGUCACAGGCUUUUUACCAUAAAAAUCUUAUUAUAUGUUUUUAUCAUUCUCAUUAUGUAUUCUCUGUUAGUUCUGACUGGUGUUUUUUCUUUGUUUUACGAGUGCCUCCAAAGGUGCUUUUUGGUCCAGCCCUCGUUUCUUUUUACACACCACCGGUUACAUACAAACUGAGCUCCUCCAGAGAGUCUGUGACAGACUGAAGCAGCUUGUCCCGGAGAAACGGCCCAGCCUGGGCCAGGAGCGGAACCAGAACUUUGAGGAUCUGCCGACUCUGACGGAGCUGAGAGUUGUCUUUGGUCACCAGUGACUCGUUGAUAUACUCUAAGAUCGUCACGACAACAGCAGCGUAACAUUUGCUGGUUUCCGUGUGGACUUCUGGUAGAUCUGUCUCAGUGAUGCGGGCGUGUGACAUCAUGUCAUCAUGUUCCAUAUGUACGCCGUUGCGUCUUGUGGGAAACGCUGGCUGAAAGAAGAGCAGGAUGUGGGCCAGUAGCUGAUUUGCAGCGGAGACGACAAAUAGACUGGAGUCAGUUUGGAGUUGGAGCAGCUCUGGAAUUAAAUCUGCAGAAUUGAACAGAAAAAAAACACAAGUCAAAAUGACUUUAAUGUAACGUCCAACACUUUGUAACUGUGUUGUUAUUGCGUCCCCUGCGUUGUUAUUGCGUUACUUCUCUUUAACCAAUAUCAAGUGUACAGAGAGAAGUGUAUGUCCCUCACAAAGAGUCACCUGCUUGCACAAAGAAACGGAGAGCCUCCAAGUGCUGCAGCAUCUUCCUCAAACCCUGGAUCCAACCAAUCCGAACACAAGGAUCCUCCCAAAGUCCUGCUCUGUGCCAGUGUUGAUGGUUAAAGGCAAGGUCCAGAAUGGAGUGUGCCUACAGAGGGGACAUCACCUGAGUCAGAACCUUUACUAAGAAUUACAAUGAAUUAGAAUUGUUAAGAACAAGGUGUCAGGAUUCUACCUGAAGCAUUUUGAAGGCAUCUUCAGCUGCAGCUACUAAGCCGCAGACUUUGAGCACAAAAGAGAUGACACUGGGGUCCGAUGACGGUUUGUGAACCACAGCUGAUAUGAAUUCGAGUAGACAUGGGUGGGCCUCCAGCAGAGCUCCACCUUCACCUGAAGAGAAAAAAGAGACAUGAUAGAAGAGGAUCUUCAGAAGAUCCAGGCCAGGGAGAUGUCUCUGGCUUGAACAUGCAGGAAGUAGUUACUGAGUAACAUUAUGUAUGAAACAAAACAAUUAGACUGGGGCCACAAAGUGAGUGUGAGAGAAAAUCAUAGAGAUGGGAACCGGUAUCGGUCAAUGUCAGUAUCGUUCUGUUACUGGAUGUUACAUCCCAGCUCGUUAAAAUCACUGGAUCGGAUAUCGGACAGAUAAAGAUGUAGAAUCUGCUACAAUCCGAAGAUUCAAUAUAUCGCAUGCAGCACUAUUCACAGACUGUAAAAAUUAAAAUAAAAGUCAGCAAAACCA